UACGGAGGGUGCAAGCGUUAAUCGGAAUUACUGGGCGUAAAGGGUGCGUAGGCGGGCAGGUAAGUCAGUGGUGAAAUCUCCGAGCUUAACUCGGAAUCUGCCAUUGAUACUAUUUGUCUUGAAUAUUGUGGAGGUAAGCGGAAUAUGUCAUGUAGCGGUGAAAUGCUUAGAUAUGACAUAGAACACCAAUUGCGAAGGCAGCUUACUACACAAUGAUUGACGCUGAGGCACGAAAGCGUGGGGAUCAAACAGG
rnacentral:rRNA from 1 species